rnacentral:tmRNA from 1 species
GGGGGCGAUCGGUUUCGACGGGGACGUAUGAAGGAACGGUUGCGUGUCCGUCGGCUCGGGACGACGUAAAAAACUCGGGAAAACACAACUGCCAACGACAACGCACUUGCUCUCGCGGCCUGAAAGCUGACUUGAGCCGUCGACCGGAUGGAGGCCGCCAGUGCUCCCCCGGAAGGCGUCAUUCAAACUGGCUGGUCUCCGUGUGCGCUGCCCGCCGCGGAGAUGAGACUUUGGGUAGCUAGCGUCUGGAGAGCCCGUCCGUGGGCGCAAGAGGCGCGAAAUUCAAAACGCGGAAUACGCACGUAGACGCCGGUCUGGAGCGUUCUCGGACCAGGGUUCGAUUCCCUGCGCCUCCACCG